UAAUUCCAGGCCCUGUCUUACAUAAUGUGCAUAUUCCCCCUGAAGGUAAAGAUGGAGGAUACUGGCCUCUUUUGCCUGAGCAGGGCCAAGAGGGCUAGCUGGGGUAAGCUUGUGAAUGUAUCUAAGAAGUUCUGGUUGAUGGAGAACUCCAGGACUCCUUGAGGCAGUAAGUCCAAAUGCAGCUUCAGGGUGAAUUUAGGGGGUGGUCCCCCUCCACACCAAAGCUUAUGCAGGUGUUUGGGGCCAGGCCCUGCUCCAUCAGCCUGGAGGGCCCUUGAGGCCUCAGGCCAGCUGGAGGGGUGCUAACUAUGCAUGCACAGUCAGAGCAGUUCAGGGUAGCUAGGAAUCUGGAAAAAAGGGCACAGAUCCAGGGAGGCUGAGUCAUGGAACAAGAUCUUUUGGACAAAAGGCAUCUGCCUCAAUUCAAGCUCUCACCUAUACCUUUGUGCAUAUUCCCUUUGACAACAGGACUGGAGGAUACUGGUCUGCUUUCCUAGGGCAGGGUGGGUGUGCUGGCUGGGGUAUCAUCUAGUAAGAGACAUUUGGGAUCCCGGUUGCUAGAGAAGACCAGGAGUCCGUCAGGCAGCAAGUCCAAAUUGGGACUGAUAGUAGCCAAUUUGCAGCUGUAGACUCAUGGUGAUUUUUGGUGGUGAGCACCCUCCACGCUACAGCCUGUGCGGGGCUUCCAACUGCGCAUGCCCUGGCAGUGCAGUUCAGGGUAAACAGAAAAUUGGAACCACUCAAGACUUGGGAGAAGCCAGAUCUCAACAGUGGAAUGUUUGGGAUACCUGGCAUCUGCCCAAGUCUAAGGCCUAACGUACACAAAUGCACUUGUGUCUUCUGAAGGCAGAGCUGAAGGAAUCUGGACCUCCUUGCCAGGAAGGGGCCAGUCAUACUGGCCAGGGUAUCCUUCAGUAGGAGACUCCUGGGAGCCCUGAUUACUGGUCCCCUAAUCUCCUGAGGUUUCUGCAUCUGCCAGGAAGUGACCUUUACUCACCUGAUAAGGCUGCUGAGAUCCUUAGAGAUAGAAGAGCACAAGCAGAAGGAAUGGCAGAGGGAGAAGGAGAAGCAGGCUCUGCACUG